UUGGAAUGCUUCCUUUAGCACGAGAAUUUCUACGAGGUGGGGUUGAGGUAUAAAUUGAGAGUAUGAAAAUAAGAACACAUUUUGCUAGGUUUGCAACACAUUAUAGUUUGAAUUGAAAAGAACAAACGCUCUGUUGUUUCAAGAGAUUGCAUCAUGGACCGGAGACAAGCAGUAUAUUGCAUGCCAUAGUGUGUAAUUUGCAUUCAUGUUGUCCUUACUUGAAAAUAUAGACUGUAUGCCAGAUCUGGAAAUUUUAUUUUAUUUGCAUCAACCAGACUGAAAGACUGAAUGCCGGAACUGAUAGAAAGAUGACUUCCCCAGUUUGAGCAACGUUGUGAAAUAACCAUUCAAUGAUUACUCUUUCUACUGCUACUCAGACACUCAGCAUAAGCUGGUAACCAAAUGCUGAUUCUGCAGGUAGUUCUGGUUGCAAAUUCGUUGCCGGCUUUGAACGAUAUUACGGCUAAUGAACUUCCAG
rnacentral:lncRNA from 1 species